GUAUGAGGCUGACUUGCUGUAAUCUACACUUUCUCAUCAGACUUGGCCACCCAACCCAUAUGAGAUAUGUCCUUUGCAUCUAUGGAGAAGGUUUUUCUCUGUUUUAAAGGGAGGAAUGAAAAGUAUCCAGCGCAUCAUAAUAAACAGAUAGCAAGGACUUCCUUUUCUAAAGAAAUUUGGAAACUUCAAAUCUCCUUUCUUACAGUUUUCAGUGAGACCUCAUUGUGAACUUUUUCUGAUGGAAAGAAGUAUUUUCAAGAACAUCAAGUGCUUUCAAGAAUAAUUAAGAAUUAUUCCAAAGUACAUUCUAAUGGCUAUUUUAGCAAUUUGAAACUUCAUUAAAAGAAUCUUUACAUGAUUUGUAUUACAUCAUCAACUUGUUCUGUUUCUAUAGUUUAAUAAAGGCGUGCAAGGUCAAGAGUGGUAAGAAAUAGCGGGCCGUUUCUGGAGGAUGUGAGAAUCAGUAUAAAGUUGAUGUGAAAAUUAACUGGGUAUUUGACAUGAGUAAAUACAGAUCUGUUGAUUCACAGUGAUGGCAUGUACACUACUCAUUCUGGCGGAGACUUGGAUACUGCAAUCCUUCUAGUCCUCCUACAGUGUGCUACACAUCACAGUCAUUAAUUAGGUCACUUUAUGAUGUAGGGUUAAUUUCAGCAUACCCAAAUACUAUCAGUUGCGAAUGCUAACUUGGCAUGUCAUUGGGAGUUACAUUCCUAGUUAAUGGUUAUCCAUUUGGUGCCUGUUUUACCAACUUAGAACACUCACUUGGAACUCAUUUUAGAACAAAGCUUUGCGCCACGUAUCUAUUUCCCUAGUUACCCUUAUAGCUCUGCCGUUAGUUGGUGACGAUUAGCCAAGCCGAACAUGUCACCUCUUAUCGCUCUAUUCUAAGGGGCUCAGGUGCCUAUUACAGAUUUCCUAGAAUUUGCCCGUAAUUGACUGUGUCCCACAAUAGGUAACUCUGGAAGUGACAGGCAGCCUGCAAUGUGGUUCUCCCGCCCGUCGAUUGGGCUUUGCAGGAAGCUCCGCCUCGCCGAGUCAGUCAAGGGCGACAGUUGGUCCGGCGUCGGUCUUUCACUACCAUUCCUACAGUGGUUGCAAGAUUCCGUUUCUUCCUCACUCUCCAUGUACCAUGCCAGUGACAUCUUAGCUGCUAGAGUGUGGAGCUGGCCUGUGGGAGUCAAGUCAUCUUGUAAAUUUUGCGUAUGUAAAUUAACACAUCCCCUGUUAUAUCAUAACAACCAUGUAAGGGAGAGUGUUUUCCUGCUCUGUCUUAGGUAUUGAUGGUGUGACCUGUUCACACAGGGGAAACUUGAACAUUCACAGGUGCACCAGAGGCUCUCUUCCUGGCAGAAUUUGGGAGUUGUUUAUUGCAGUACUGUUGUGCCCUCUGAUGGUGAGUUGUGGCAAACCCAUUUUUUUUAAGUCUUUUUUUUCCCCCUCCUCCUUAGCUCAGUGUUUCCCAUUCUCUGGUGGACAUACAAAUUUAUAAGCUAUACUCUUUCACUUAAGGUGAGUUUGGUGCCAGAAAGAGAAGGGUUAAAGAAGGGAAAUAAAAUCUGAAUGAGGAACUAGUGGAUAUAGAGGGAAAACCAAGAAGAAAAACAAAUGGGCUCAAGACUUCAUAGAUCACAGAAUAUUCACUUACAUUUCAAAAUUGGAGACAUAAUUAAUGUGAAGGUCACAGAAGUAACAUCUUUUGCGUUUCAUAACCACUGGGCUUUCAUGCAAUGAUUACUGAUCAAAUAAUCUCUCCCCUUUGUGGUAUCAGCCUGCACUGAAACAAUUCAAAGU
rnacentral:lncRNA from 1 species